rnacentral:tRNA from 1 species
GGAGAGGUGGUAGAGCGGUUGAUUGCGCCGGUCUUGAAAACCGGAGAAGGGAAACCUUCCGUGGGUUCGAAUCCCACCCUCUCCG